rnacentral:rRNA from 1 species
UAAGAUUAAGCCAUGCAUGUGUCAGUACAAGCCGAACUAAGGCGAAACCGCGAAUAGCUCAUUAAAUCAGUUAUUGUUUACCCUACAGUAAAUGUACAUGGAUAACUGUGGUAAUUCUAGAGCUAAUACAUGCAGGAAGCCCUGACCUCUUGUAGGCACGGGCGCAGUUAUUAGAUCAAAAACCAAUCAGCAGCAUUUUCGGAUGCAGCUGUCUUUUGGUGAAACUGAGUAACCACAGCAAACCGUAUAGCCUCGCGCUUGACGGUCUGUAGGUCAAGCAACUGCCUUAUCAGCUUGUUGUUAGGUUACAUGCCUAACAAGGCGUCAACGGGUAACGAACGAUCGGGGUCGGACAUCGGAGAGGGAGCCUGAGAAACGGCUACCACAUCCAAGAGAA